rnacentral:misc_RNA from 1 species
UGCAUACCUUUCUAAUGGUAUCGUGUUGGUUGAUCGAAGUCCCUUUUCAUCUUGUGUUGCUUUUUGCGACGCAUGAUGAACCUUGAGGCGGUCUCUAUGUUCCACCACGUUGAUGCUAGCGCUUUGAUGUUGUGGCCCAUUGAGUGUUGCUUGGUCUCGUGGAUACAGAACAUGAUUUGGGCAUAGGGUUACUUGUGACUCUUGUUUUGUCCUUAAUCUGUGUUCUUUAUAACGACGGUUCAUGCGCGCCUAGGCUCGUACCUGCGCGAUGUUCUUUGUCGAAGAGGAAUGCUACCUGGUUGAUCCUGCCAGUAGUCAUAUGCUUGUCUCAAAGAUUAAGCCAUGCAUG